GCCAAACUAAACUUUUUUUUUUUUUUUUUGCCUUGUUAGGAACUGCAAGAAUUUUUCCAUUCUAUUUUUUUUUUUCCCCCAGACUGCAGCAGUCCUCUUCCAGUAGAGCUGAUUGGCUUCAACCCAUAAUCCCGUUGGAUUUCUUUCCCUAUUUUUUGCAGAGAAUGUCAUUUGAGUACAUAUUACAGUGCUAAAAAGGAAGUUUUAGUUGAAUUUUUUUUUUCAAUCACUGAUUACUACUCAGUGAAGCUGGGGCACUCAAAGGUAAAACAUGUAUUUUUCUUUCAGACACGUUUUUGUUGGUGGAAACCCUGCAUCUGCCCUGUGGGUACUGUGAAGACUUCGUAGGAGGCAGUCAGAAGGACUAACAAAUUGCUUUAUUAAAGCUCACACCUAGAAUUACCACCGUGCGGACCCAUGACUAACCCUGCCGGGCAGCCCUGUGAGGUUUGGAAACCCACCUCUUUGACCUAGGCCCAGGCAAUACCCGGGAGUGGCACCCAGAGAACUUUCCCAGAUUGAUCUCUGUCACUGCUCAAGGAAGGUCCGCUCCAGCCUUUCUGCCCGGAGCCAAUCAGCCCUGCCUGCCAAGCCACUCCUUCCCUGCACCUUUAACGGUUGGGAGCCGGGAAACGUCGGCUGGGGUUUUCUUCUUAAGAAGUCGCACCGGUUUUUCGAGCUCCGCUCUGCGUCUGGAGGGCUACAGCAGCGGGAGCGGGUGCCGCCGGUGCCACCCUCCUUUGCCCCUGCCACUCUUCGCAGAAAAGAUCUGUUCCAGAACUGAGUGUUGACUGCUGCAGGGACUACGGUGGGGUUUGCUGUGCUCCC
rnacentral:lncRNA from 1 species